AGGGUUUUCGGCUCGUAAAACUCUGUUGUUAAAGAAGAACAUAUCUGAGAGUAACUGUUCAAGUAUUGACGGUAUUUAACCAGAAAGCCACGGCUAACUACGUGCCAGCAGCCGCGGUAAUACUUACGUGGCAAGCGUUGUCCGGAUUUAUUGGGCGUAAAGCGAGCGCAGGCGGUUUUUUAAGUCUGAUGUGAAAGCCUUCGGCUCAACCGAAGAAGUGCAUCGGAAACUGGGAAACUUGAGUGCAGAAGAGGACAAGUGGAACUCCAUGUGUAACGAUGAAAUGCGGUAGAUAUAUGGAAGAACACCAGUGGCGAAGGCGGCUGUCUGGUCUGUAACUGACGCUGAGGCUCGAAAGCAUGGGUAGCAAACAGGAUUAGAUACCCUGGUAGUCCAUACCGUAAACGAUGAAUGCUAAGUGUUGGAGGGUUUCCGCCCUUCACUGCUGCGGCUAACACAUUAAGCAUUCCGCCUGGGGAUACAGUCGCGGGCUGAACUCAAGAAUUUGACGGA
rnacentral:rRNA from 1 species